rnacentral:rRNA from 1 species
UACGAAGGGUGCAAGCGUUAAUCGGAAUUACUGGGCGUAAAGGGUGCGUAGGCGGUUGUUUAAGUCUGUCGUGAAAUCCCCGGGCUCAACCUGGGAAUGGCGAUGGAUACUGGGCAGCUAGAGUGUGUCAGAGGAUGGUGGAAUUCCCGGUGUAGCGGUGAAAUGCGUAGAGAUCGGGAGGAACAUCAGUGGCGAAGGCGGCCAUCUGGGACAACACUGACGCUGAAGCACGAAAGCGUGGGGAUCAAACAGG